AUGCGUUGUUGGGUAGGGGAGCGUUCUGUAAGCCUGUGAAGGUGGCCUGUGAGGGUUGCUGGAGGUAUCAGAAGUGCGAAUGCUGACAUAAGUAACGAUAAAGCGGGUGAAAAGCCCGCUCGCCGGAAGACCAAGGGUUCCUGUCCAACGUUAAUCGGGGCAGGGUGAGUCGACCCCUAAGGCGAGGCCGAAAGGCGUAGUCGAUGGGAAACGGGUUAAUAUUCCCGUACUUGGUGUUACUGCGAAGGGGGGACGGAGAAGGCUAUGUUGGCCGGGCGACGGUUGUCCCGGUUUAAGCGUGUAGGUGUGUGUUCCAGGUAAAUCCGGUUCACUUUAACACUGAGGCGUGAUGACGAGGCACUACGGUGCUGAAGCAACAAAUGCCCUGCUUCCAGGAAAAGCCUCUAAGCAUCAGGUAACAUCAAAUCGUACCCCAAACCGACACAGGUGGUCAGGUAGAGAAUACCAAGGCGCUUGAGAGAACUCGGGUGAAGGAACUAGGCAAAAUGGUGCCGUAACUUCGGGAGAAGGCACGCUGACACGUAGGUGAAGUGAUUUACUCA
rnacentral:rRNA from 1 species